ACCUACGGGGGGCAGCAGUAGGGAAUCUUCCACAAGGGGCGAAAGCCUGAUGGAGCAACGCCGCGUGGGUGAAGAAGGUCUUCGGAUCGUAAAACCCUGUUGUUAGAGAAGAAAGUGCGUGAGAGUAACUGUUCACGUUUCGACGGUAUCUAACCAGAAAGCCACGGCUAACUACGUGCCAGCAGCCGCGGUAAUACGUAGGUGGCAAGCGUUAUCCGGAUUUAUUGGGCGUAAAGGGAACGCAGGCGGUCUUUUAAGUCUGAUGUGAAAGCCUUCGGCUUAACCGGAGUAGUGCAUUGGAAACU
rnacentral:rRNA from 1 species